rnacentral:rRNA from 1 species
GACGGAGGGUGCAAGCGUUGUUCGGAUUGACUGGGCGUAAAGGGCGUGUAGGCGGUCGGCCAAGUCUGAUGUGAAAGCCCGAGGCUCAGCCUCGGAAGUGCGUCGGAAACUAGUCGGCUGGAGCGCGAUAGAGGAGGGUGGAAUUCCUGGUGUAGCGGUGAAAUGCGAGAGAUGUGGAGGAAUACCGAUGGCGAAGGCAGCCCCCUGGGUCAAUACUGACGCUCAUGCACGAAAGCGUGGGGAGCAAACAGG